UUACUCUGGUUUCUCCUCAUUUUUCGUGUAAAUCUUUCGCCUUUUACUAAAGAUUUCCGUGUCACGGUUGGAAUUGAUAGCGUGAGUUAGUCUCAAAAUGAUUAAUCAGUACUGAUUAAU